rnacentral:rRNA from 1 species
AUGAUCAGGGUCGGCAAAAGCCCAUUUUCUUCACCUAUGUUGCUUGUUAAGAAGAAGGGUGGAGAGUGGAGAAUGGUGGUUGAUUACAGGAUGUUAAAUGCAAUCACUAUUACGGGGAAGUUCCCAGUCCCUGUGAUAGAUGUGCUAUUGGAUGAGUUGUCUGGGGCUGCUUGGUUCACAAAAUUGGAUUUGAGAGCUGGCUACCACCAAAUUAGACUGGCCCCAGGAGAAGAAUAUAAGACUGCCUUUUCCACUCACAUUGGUCACUAUGAGUUCAAUGUGUUGGCCUUUCGGCUUAGUGGAGCUUCUGGCACUUUCCAGGGUUCACUGAACACUACCUUGAAGCCUGUAAACAGAAAGAAUACAUUGUGUUUCUUCGAUGACAUCUUGGUUUUCAGCAAAACUUACCAAGAGCACCUAUCACAUGUUAGAAAAGUGCUAGAGCCGCUCAGAGCUGACCAGUGGAAGGUUAAAAUGUCCAAAAUGUGCCUUUGCUCAGCAACAAAUCGACUACUUGGGACAUACCAUUAG